AGCGAAAUACGUAUGCCACUGCGUUGGGUGGUCGGCCAUUGCGUGCUGGUACGGGGGGACGAUCUGCGAAAAGUUGGACGGCCGUCGACGGCGGACUGGGUGAGCCGUGGACCAGAAUCAGCGUUUCCGUCUGAUCCGUGGCUCAGGAAUUUUGCUUUUCGUGUAAUGGUUCCACACGCGAAUUGAUUGCAGGCUCGAGAGUGUUCUCGGCUAGGGCGUGCCGCGUGCGUGAUUUGGGGACUGUGGAGGCACGGAGCGCCGCCGGCGAAACACCAUGGAGUUUCGGAUGCAGCCGAUCGGCAGAUCUAGUGUUCUUGAGGAGAUAGGGGAAAGCUUGGUGCUGCCUCCUGUAGCUAUGAAUAUCCAUCUGAUAGGUGAUUUGGAGGUGGGCCGGCUGGCAGAGCGCGAGUCUUUGGAGGUGGCGAAGCAGGCGGAGCGACAGGCGGCACAAGAGGCGACGGUGGGCAGCGGCGACGGACAAAUCUUGUUGGCGAACGAAGAGGCAGCAAACAGAAGAGGCAGCUCGCCGCCAACAUCGGAGCUGUCAGCAGGGAAGCUCCAGGCACGGGGGUGGAACAAAAGGUUCGAUGGUGGGAGGUACAUCCUGCAUCUGUCUGCGUUUUGCAGGCCAUAUUAGCUGUCUGUCUAGACCAAGGAAUAUGAUGAAGGGGCCUAUGUUUGAUUGGGUAUCCUCUGAAUUUCUUAGAAUGAUGGUUGGAUCUCCACCAAUGACCAUACUAACUGACCAGAACCAUGUGAUGGAGCUGGCGAUGAAAAACAUUAUGCCUGACACGGUGCACCGGUGGUGCAAAUGGCAUGUGCUGAGGAAAGCGAAGGAGACGUUAGGUGCUCUGUACACCAAGAAGAGUGAGUUCACAACAGAUUUUCAUAAAGUAAAUCACAUGCUGACGGAGGAUGAAUUUGAGAAAGGUUGGGAGAUGUUGCUGGAUAAAUACAAGCAGAGAUCACACACUUACACGGCGCAACUGUACAAGAUUAGGCACAAGUGGACUAAACCUUAUUACAUGGCGCAACUAGCACACAGAGGAGUGAAAACGCAAACCACAUACUAAAGAAUUAUGUGCCCCCCAGGUGUCGAAUGCACAUGUUUGUGCAGAAGUACAUGAGGCUUCAGUUUGAUAGAGAAUCGGAGUAGAACUACGAGGAGAAGCAAACAAGAAUUGGUAGGCCACCGAUGAGGGAAAUCUUGCUGUCAGAAGGCAUGCGAGCAAGAUUUAUACAAGAGCUAUGUUUGAACAAUUUGGGCACAUACUGUACAAGUGCGGGGCUUAUCAAGUUGAAGAGGUUGAGAAGCAUAAAAACAUAUGUGGCAAUUCAUAGUGAAGCAUAGAAGAGGGAGAAGUGGUGCAGAGUUUCGUACAAGGUUACAAUGAUAGAUGGAGGCAAUGAAUUCGACUGCGAGUGUGGCCAGUGCAUACAUGGGCUUGCUGUGCAGCCAUGUGUUGAAGUUAAUUUUGUUUCGUGCAGGUCCUAGAUUACAUAAAAGAGCUAAAGUACCGGAGAAACACAUAGUGAAGAGGUGGACGAAGGAUGCGUGAGAUAUAUUGCCUCCACACCUUUCACAAUACCAGAAAGAACUUGUUAGGCUAGGCAACACAAGUGUGGAAGCAUACAAUCGAUUGACAGAGUUGUUCAAGUCAAAUUUGACUGUGAUGCUACCUUAUGCAGAAGUUAGGGAUGGUCUUGGCCUCGAGGAUCGACUCGCAGACAGGGGUGCAGUGUUGAAUCAAGUGCAGCCUGUGGUGGUGGGUGCAGAUCAAAACACUAGUGCCAGAGAAGCUGUUGCUGUUUUAGCUGAUGGUGAUUCAGUACCAAGGACAAGCAACAGAUUGGAGGGACUGCUGGGCGCUGGCUCCUGCGAAGAGGAAAGAAUUGGGGCAGCCAAUGACAAGUAGGGAGAAAGCUCUGUUUGAAGGUUUGAGCAAGAUGACCAGGUUUUGCACGAUUUGUCAUAGGCGAGGGCACAAGCGAACCACAUGUCCUGACUGUGAUCUUCCAAAGCAACCUCGGAAGCCUGCUAGAUGCAAGAACUAUGGUGUUGCGUGGCACCGCCGCAACAACCAUAAUAAGGCAAUGGAGCUUGGGCUAGCCAAUGGAAUGUAGUAGGCGUAGUAUUUUCGUAUAUUGUGGUCGGUUAUGGUCUGAUGGCUUAUCUAGAUUCUUUUUCUGCAUUACAGGUGUGUUAAGUAGGAGCUCAUGUCUUAAGUAGAAGCUUCUUCAGCUUUAGUGGCUGGGGAAUGUCGUCAAUACUUGUAGCUUGAGUUCGAUCAUAUCUUUGUUUAAGCAUGAACUGUUGCCUCCGCUUUUGGUUUAGUAUACAAUUCGCCAGACUCCUGAGUAAUGUAAGAUGUGAAAGAUGGUUAUUUUCUUAGUUGGAUUCAAA